GUGCUCACUUUGGUAGCACAUAUUCUAAAAAUUAGAAUGAUACAGAAAAGAUUAACACGGCCCCUUUACAAGGAUGACAUGCAAAUUUGUGAAGUGUUCCAUGUUUUU
rnacentral:snRNA from 1 species